CUUAAAAACCUUUUUAAUCUCUUGGAGAUGGUGUUGGAUGUUAAAUAAACUGUCGAUAUUAUUUUUCGAUUGUGAACGCGUUUAAUAACGCGAUAUUGCCAAGGUGAAUGGAUAUAUAUAAAUAUAAAUGGAUAUAUAUGUGUAUAAUGGGAAUUAUAUAUAACAUAUAGAUAGAAUCCCUAUACUAGGAGAGUGACGCCAUUAUGCUUGGAGCGUUCUUCGAGCCUGUUUGCUUAGGAUAAAAUUGACGACAUCGAUGCACCCUAUGUGUGUGAUAUAUAAUCAACACGGGAAAUUAUGUUUGUUCUGUCAGAUCCAUCGGAGAUACAUUCGAGAACGGAUAAGUGGUUAAGAGAAAUAAAAUUAAAUUAUCUGGCGAAUUUAAGGGGCUUUACGCACAAUAAACCAAUAACAGUUGUACGGAAAUUAAACGGUUUCAGGAAUUGAGGAAUUCAACUUUUGAUAAACGAAGAUCAAGUUUUUGUCAAUGUUUUUAGCUUAACUCCUAAUUUAAAGUAAUGCAAUUUUAAUUUCAGGAAAAAAACCACGUGCCGAUCUUUAUCGAGUUUCUCGAAACCAUAACUUUGGUCUACUAGUUUUUAAUGAAGAAAAUACAAGUAAAAACAACCUCUUCUUUAUAUAUUUAAUGGCUUAAUUUUUAAAUCAGAGUUAAUGUCUUUCUGCGCACGCGCGGAACUUGUUCGCCGCAAUCAUUGUCACUUAACCUGUAAAACUAACCUUGUUCUUUUAACAAAUUGAU